GGCAAAGUCGCCACUGCCGCCGACCUGUGGCCCGUAGGCCCAAACCCCGAUGGCGCUGACCUCAACAAUUACAAGAUCCUGACACUGAAGACGCUUACCGCAUCGCUGGGUGGAGAGAGCCUCAAGGACAAGCUACAGGACAUAUCGGAAGGAACGCGCUGGACUCUUCUGUCCUUCUCCAUGGCGGUGCGUACGUAC
rnacentral:lncRNA from 1 species